rnacentral:lncRNA from 13 species
GGACCGGAGCGGGAAGAAGGUCUCUUUGUUACUACGAUGCUCCCCGAUACUCAGUACAUCUGUAGGAGACACUGGAUGGGAUGUGCCCUUCUAGACUGCAGUUGUAAGUCUCAACAUCAGGCUGAACUCCACAUCGAGUUUUCCAUCACAACGACCAAAUGCACCUUGAGCCAUCCUGAGCCAGUGGCGGCCUCCGACUGGAGCAUCCUCUGUCUUCAAGGACCUUAUGCCAGUUACCUCCUAUCUGGACACCAUGGAAUCUACAAUACCUUUCCCUGAAAGCUGCAGCAUGGGUAGAAGUGUGCUGGGGACACACAGAAUGCUUUGCUAUCUCGUAGUUUAUCUUAAUCGGAAUUAUUUGCUUACCUUUGCAGCCACUGGGCUAUAAGCUUCUCAUGAAUACACAAUGACUUGUUCAUCAGUAUAUCAUGGGAUCUAACAAAUACACACUCAGUAAAUAUUAGAUUAAUACAUGAAUGUCUACAGUCACAUUUGAUUUCACUGUUGCGAACUGUGAAAACCUUAGCAAGUACAAUUGCUAUCAGCAUCAUGGACACUGCGUAGAGAAUGUAGGUCACUUCUGGUCAGUUAAAUUCGUGCAUAUUUAUGAGACAGAGAGGGAGAGAGAAGGAGGGAGGGGUAAAAUUAAAAUAAUAUAUGUAUAGAGACCUUGUUUGAUAUGUGUAUCAAAUAUUAUAUUAAAAUCUACUAUUUGAGCUAUUGCAAUAGAUAAAAUAGUUGUAGGUUAAUUCUAACUCUGAACUUUGGAUGUAUGCUAUGCACAUUACAGUUCCCAAAUUAUUGGCUUUAAUUAUAACAUAGAAGAUUCUAAAACUAAAGUAAAUAUUACAUGAAUUCAUAAUAUAAUAUACUCAAAUAGCAUGAGACCGUAUAUUUUAAAACAGGUAUUUAUUGCUUAAUAAUAGUAUUCCUGAUCAGGUUUCUGUCAGGACUAAACUGAAACUAGUAUAAUAAUAUGUCUGCUUUAUGGAGGAGGAUUGAUAAACUAUUUUUAUGAUUGAUGAUAAAUUUGAGCUAUCGGUGGCUCACGCCUGUAACCCCAGCACUUUGGGAGGCUGAGGCGGGUGGAUCACGAGGUCAAGAGAUCGAGACCGUCCUGGUCAACAUGGUGAAACCCCAUCUCUAUUAAAAAUAGAAAAAAUUAGCUGGGCAUGGUGGCGCGUGCCUGUAAUCCCAGCUACUCAGGAGGCUGAGGCAGGAGAAUUGCCUGAACCCAGGAGGCGGAGGUUGCGGUGAGCUGAGAUCACACCAUCGCACUCCAGCCUGGGUAACAAGAGCGAAACUCCGUCUCAAAAAAAAAAAAAAAAAAUUGAGCUAUCUUCCUAAAAAACAGAUUAUUUAGCCACACAGUGAUGCUCCCAAAGAACAUAUUUGCAUGAUCCUCAAGUUCACUACCAGAAAGACACUAAAUAAUAAUAAAGUCACAAAGCCAGGGAAAGGCA